CCAAUCAAGGAUGAUGAGGUGGUGUCAUACAUCCUUGCUAGGAUGGACAUGGAGUACCAUCCGCUCGUGUCUGCUAUCGACGCGCGCACCAUGCCGGUCUCCCUCGAAGAUAUCUUUGUCAUGAUGAGAAAUUUUGAUC
rfam:Hordeum vulgare subsp. vulgare, WGS project CAJW01000000 data, contig: morex_contig_1606472